UUGAUAAUAUAGUUUAUACUAUCAUUAAUUAUGUGCACUGUUACCCGCCAAUUGGCGGCCGUAAGGUCGUCAAUUGGCCCCAAUUAAAAUAUUUAUUAAUAACUUUUUUAUACCAGUAAUCAUAUAAACUUAUGAC
rnacentral:misc_RNA from 1 species